AGUAACACGUGGAUAACCUACCUAUAAGACUUGGAUAACUUCGGGAAACCGGAGCUAAUACCGGAUAAUAUUUUGAACCGCAUGGUUCAAAAGUGAAAGACGGUCUUGCUGUCACUUAUAGAUGGAUCCGCGCUGCAUUAGCUAGUUGGUAAGGUAACGGCUUACCAAGGCAACGAUGCAUAGCCGACCUGAGAGGGUGAUCGGCCACACUGGAACUGAGACACGGUCCAG
rnacentral:rRNA from 1 species